rnacentral:rRNA from 1 species
UACGUAGGCAGCAAGCGUUGUUCGGAUUUACUGGGCGUAAAGGGUGUGUAGGCGGUUCUUUUAGUUUGCUGUGAAAUCUCCCGGCUCAACCUGGGAACGGCGCGCGAAACGGGAGGGCUGGAGUUCGGGAGAGGAGAGUGGAAUUCCCAGUGUAGAGGUGAAAUUCGUAGAUAUUGGGAAGAACACCGGUGGCGAAGGCGGCUCUCUGGACCGAGACUGACGCUGAGGCGCGAAAGCGUGGGGAGCAAACAGG